rnacentral:rRNA from 1 species
UUAAAUGAAUUGACGGGGAGCACCACAACGGGUGGAGCUUGCGGUUUAAUUGGAUUCAACGCCGGAAAUCUUACCGGGACCGACAGCAAUAUGAAGGCCAGGCUGAAGACUUUGCCGGAUUAGCUGAGAGGUGGUGCAUGGCCGUCGUCAGUUCGUACUGUGAAGCAUCCUGUUAAGUCAGGCAACGAGCGAGACCCACGCCCACAGUUGCCAGCGUACUCUCUGGAGUGACGGGUACACUGUGGGACCGCCGCUGCUAAAGCGGAGGAAGGAAUGGGCAACGGUAGGUCAGUAUGCCCCGAAUAUCCCGGGCUACACGCGAGCUACAAUGGUUGGUACAAUGGGUAUCUACCCCGAAAGGGGACGGGAAUCUCCUAAAACCAAUCUUAGUUCGGAUUGAGGGCUGCAACUCGCCCUCAUGAGGCUGGAAUCCGUAGUAAUCGCGUUUCAACAGAACGCGGUGAAUACGUCCCUGCUCCUU